AUUGAACGCUGGCGGCAUGCCUAACACAUGCAAGUCGAACGGGGUGUAGCAAUACAUCUAGUGGCGGACGGGUGAGGAAUACAUAGGAAUUUGCCCUUAAGUGGGGGAUAGUCCGGGGAAACUCGGUUUAAUACCGCAUGAUCUCGUGAGAGCAAAGCAGGGGACCGCAAGGCCUUGCGCUUUUGGAGAAGCCUAUGUCGGAUUAGCUAGUUGGUAGGGUAAUGGCCUACCAAGGCAACGAUCCGUAACUGGUCUGAGAGGAUGAUCAGUCACACCGGAACUGAGACACGGUCCGGACUCCUACGGGAGGCAGCAGUGGGGAAUAUUGGACAAUGGGCGCAAGCCUGAUCCAGCAAUGCCGCGUGUGUGAAGAAGGCCUCGGUU
rnacentral:rRNA from 1 species